UAAACGGAAACGUCGAUAUUAGUGUUUAUCACGAAACUGUCCUACAAAUAUUCCAUGAGGGUCUUAGUUCCAGUUACACUAUUCUGUCUAUAAAUAAAAGCUUAGGCUAGAACUUCAUUCCAAGCACUGACUUGGGAUCUUGAAAAAUCUACUCUGGGUAAGAUGAUUGUCAGAAACACUAUCAUUCACAAACCUAAAUCAGAAGGAGUUUUUCUGUUUCCCUCCGAGGCCAGAAAGGACCCACAAAGACUCUUAUGGCUCAGUCCGAGCCACUUUUCUACCACUCUGGUUUGACAGCCUUUCCAGUCGCACAUGGAGUGGGGAGAUUCCUAAAAGACUUGUGAAGAGGGCGAGGAACUUACAGAAUUACACAGCAGAUGUGGAAGGAGCCGAGACCAGAAAACAAGGCUCCUAGACUAAAAUUUCCAAUAUCAUUGCAGGCUGUACCUGUUGAGGGCUAUGGUGUCCACUUCUAUUGUCUUCUGUGAUGUCCACUGCCAAAUUUUGUAAGAGAGCAACCACUAUAU